GAUCAUGGCUCAGAUUGAACGCUAGCGGGAUGCCUUACACAUGCAAGUCGAACGGCAGCGCGGACUUCGGUCUGGCGGCGAGUGGCGAACGGGUGAGUAAUGUAUCGGAACGUGCCUAGUAGCGGGGGAUAACUACUCGAAAGAGUAGCUAAUACCGCAUACGCCCUACGGGGGAAAGCGGGGGAUCGAAAGACCUCGCGCGAUUAGAGCGGCCGAUACCUGAUUAGCUAGUUGGUGAGGUAAAGGCUCACCAAGGCAACGAUCAGUAGCUGGUCUGAGAGGACGACCAGCCACACUGGAACUGAGACACGGUCCAGACUCCUACGGGAGGCAGCAGUGGGGAAUUUUGGACAAUGGGCGAAAGCCUGAUCCAGCAAUGCCGCGUGCAGGAUGAAGGCCUUCGGGUUGUAAACUGCUUUUGUACGGAACGAAACGGUCCUUUCUAAUAAAGAGGGCUAAUGACGGUACCGUAAGAAUAAGCACCGGCUAACUACGUG
rnacentral:rRNA from 1 species